GACGAACGCUGGCGGCGUGCUUAACACAUGCAAGUCGAACGGAAAGGCCCUGCUUUUGUGGGGUGCUCGAGUGGCGAACGGGUGAGUAACACGUGAGUAACCUGCCCUUGACUUUGGGAUAACUUCAGGAAACUGGGGCUAAUACCGGAUAGGAGCUCCUGCUGCAUGGUGGGGGUUGGAAAGUUUCGGCGGUUGGGGAUGGACUCGCGGCUUAUCAGCUUGUUGGUGGGGUAGUGGCUUACCAAGGCUUUGACGGGUAGCCGGCCUGAGAGGGUGACCGGCCACAUUGGGACUGAGAUACGGCCCAGACUCCUACGGGAGGCAGCAGUGGGGAAUAUUGCACAAUGGGCGGAAGCUUGAUGCAGCAACGCCGCGUGCGGGAUGACGGCCUUCGGGUUGUAAACCGCUUUCGCCUGUGACGAAGCGUGAGUGACGGUAAUGGGUAAAGAAGCACCGGCUAACUACGUG
rnacentral:rRNA from 1 species